UAGGGAAUCUUCGGCAAUGGACGAAAGUCUGACCGAGCAACGCCGUGUGAGUGAAGAAGGUUUUCGGAUCGUAAAACUCUGUCGUUAGAGAAGAACAAGGACGUUAGUAACUGAACGUCCCCUGACGGUAUCUAACCAGAAAGCCACGGCUAACUACGUGCCAGCAGCCGCGGUAAUACGUAGGUGGCAAGCAUUGUCCGGAUUUAUUGGGCGUAAAGCGAGCGCAGGCGGUUUCUUAAGUCUGAUGUGAAAGCCCCCGGCUCAACCGGGGAGGGUCAUUGGAAACUGGGAGACUUGAGUGCAGAAGAGGAGAGUGGAAUUCCAUGUGGAGCGGUGAAAUGCGUAGAUAUAUGGAAGAACACCAGUGGCGAAGGCGGCUCUCUGGUAUGUAACUGACGCUGAGGCUCGAAAGCGAGGGGAGCAAACAGG
rnacentral:rRNA from 1 species